rnacentral:lncRNA from 10 species
CAGACUCCCAAGUAGCUAGGACUACAGGUGUAUGCCACCACAACCAGCUAACUUUUACAAAAUAUUUUUUGUAGAGAUGAGGGGGACUCGCUCUGUGGCUCACGGCCGUCUUGAACUUUGAAUACCUGGCCUCAAGCUAUUUUCCUGCCUCGCCCUCCCAGAGUGCUGGGAUUACAGGUGUGAACCACCGCACCCAGCCCUCAUUUAUUUGAUUUCUUCAGAGAGGCUCAUCUGUUCCUAUAUUUAGAAAUGUGGAACUUUUCCAAAGAAGACAACCUUCAUUUUUUUCAUACGGGCUUUCAAAAGAAUGUGAUGUCCUUUUGGUGUUUUAGAUUCUCACCUAUGAGGUAUAAACAAAUCGCCUUGCAGACAAGUCUCAACACAGAACACAUGCUGCUUAUCACUGGCAAAGACUUGCAUCAGCCUGCCACCACGGCUGGCUCAUCUUGUCCCUCCAGGCCUGUGCCUGCUGGAACACUCCCACUCCCCAUGUCUGAAUACACCACUUCGGUUGGACCAAGAGUUUCCAGCUCGGGUGGCCCCUCCUUCCCUGGAAAUAAAUAGCUGCCUAUAGAAUAUCAGAGUCAUUCUGACUCAGGGGUGACUCAGCUCUUCCAUGACCUGUGUUCCCACUUCUCCUUGAUAAGGCCAAUGUUUUGGCCCUACUGGUGAAAAUAUGUAGACCUAACAUCUAUCUCCCUGCUCCAGUUUCAAGAGAAAAGACCUUAUUCAGAGAAAUAUUUAGAAGACUCUUGUGGAAUUCUUGCUGUGAGUGGUUUUUCCUUCCCUGCCAUUGGUGCGACUGUUUCCCCCUUCCGUCAAAUUGCUGUCUAGAUGUUUCUCUCUGACCCCAAUUUUCUCGGAGUUUGGGAUUAUCAAUCUAAAAUCAGAGGCAGGGAGGAACUUGGAUUGUCCUUCAGUAAAAUUCCACUUUGAUGCGCAAAGCGAACUUGAAUUUCUGCUUGGCCUACCACAGGCCUGCAACAUGCACUUUCUCCUCGAGGUGAGAAGGUCUUUUUCUCUCCACUCUGAAACACCGCUGCCUGCACCUUUUGCUGAGUUUAGAGUAGCAUCAUACUUUCUGCCACGAAUGCCACAAAUACUGCCUUUUCAACUUGGUUUUGUAAAAUGUAAUGGUACUAAAUCCGCCAAAGGGAUAAAGCACCCUUACUUUGGAUUUGCCAGUCCCAUGGGUACAUAACUGACCUACUACUCUCCCACCUCCCAACCUUGAAACUCCAGCCCCCUGAACGGCCUCACCACUCCAACCCCCACUGCAAUUUCCCACUCCCCACCUCCAUGCAUUGCCCAUUCACCAAGCCAGCCACAUCUCCCUUUAAGUUGAAAACUCACCCGAAAGCCCACUACCUCUUCCAUGCAGCCUCCCCUGAUUAAGUGAGGAUGAAGAAACCUCCAAAGCAUGGCCGACAAACUCCCAAUAAACGAGAACACACACCCCCCCAAAACAAACACAGAAACUCACAAAAGAAGAAAAUGACACAUUCUCUACUUUUGAUUUGUGAAACUCCUAUGGGGCUAAGGAGAUCAAUUUUAUACCAAUAAAUCAUUUCAGAAAAUGAAGUCAUUUUAAUAUUCUUGGGGUUACUCAGCAAAACACUUUGCUUGGACGUCUCUUUUGUACUUUCCUUAAAUUCUUCUUCCUUUUCUUCUCGGCUUUUUGAACGUAUGACUGAAGGGAACUGCCACUCACUGACACGGACAACAGUAAAGGAACUUGGUCUUCACUAUGCCUCAUAGUGGUGGGUCACACUGCCCAGGAGGAACCCGCAAUGAGACCGGCAAAUGCCUUAACCAUCUCAUUGUCUCAUCAGGAAGAAGCUUAAAUGACUCUUCUUGCUCACAUACUUCCUGGGCAAACAUGUCUGCUCUGUUGGGAUAAAGGACGCUCUAGACCAGGCUCUGCUGAAAGAUCCAGGGCAAAGGUUCCUGACAAGACUAUGUCCAGCCUCAAAUAAGGCCACAGAAGAGCCCAGGCUCGCUGACGAGCACCGGCUCCGAGGCAGUCACAUCAGGAGACAGAAACAGACAUGUUGGUGCUGCCCUCUCAGGUCAGUGCAAAUGCCACUUGAGGAGGGCUGAGAGCUUUGCAGCAUAAAAUGACCAGAACAAGGAGAAACACAGAUGCAAUGGCAAUAGCUGGCAAUUCGCACAUGGCGUCAAACACCACUGCCACAGAAGCUUUUUAGCUACAAGCCACGCUAUGCAACCUUUAAGCAAAACAUUAUUGAUUUUGUGGUUGUAAAAACAUACCUUCAACUGCAGAACUCAGUUUUAUGACACCUUGAAUAAAAACAAAAAGUGGCAGUUAUAUAAUGGACCCAAAUCGCCUUUUCCAGGCUUCUCAUAACACACGCAUGCUUCAGAUUUGGAUUUUUCUUUUUCUGCUGGCAUUGCAAGAACGUAACUAAACAAAUAUCAACUUCAAAAAUAAAAUAAUUUUUAGUCUUAACUAGGUCUCAUGGAUGUCUUCUUUUCCCCCACUAAAACCAUUUGGGGAAAUUUUUCACUAAAAAUGGGAUCAAACAUGUUUUUGGAUGGGACAAAGGCCAAGUCUGCCUGAGUGACUAUUUCUGUGUAUAAAUUAUACCAGAUUAUGGAUCAAUAAAAGUUCACACAAUAGGAUGCUAGGGACCAGCACUUCCUCUUUGAUACUGUAUCUAGAGAUCAUCUGAUGCAUGUUAGGACAGAGUUUCUGUUGAAACAUGUAACAGGUGGUUAAAAACCAUGGUGUGAUCUGGUAACUUUCUUCUCUGGGGUGGUUGGGCCAGAGCCCUUUUCUUGGUCUGAUGGGUUUAGAUUUCAGCUCCCUCAAGUCAGAGAGUGAACGGGUUAUCUGAGCAAGUCAAGUUGUUCAUGAAGCAAGUCAGUACCCUUGACUGAUAUUUAUGCACCUUUGCAGUGAAUUUUUUUUUUUUUUGAGACAGAGUCUCGCUCUGUCACCCAGGCUGGAGUGCAGUGGCGCAAUCUCGGAUCUUGGAUCUCGGCUCACUGCAACCUCUGCCUCCUGGGUGGACGCCAUUCUCCUGCCUCAGCCUCCCGAGUGGCUGGGACUACAGGCGCCCGCCAGCACGCCCGGCUAAUUUUUUGUAUUUUUAGUAGAAACAUGGUUUCACUGUA